AUGUUCCUUGGCAAAUAUCUGUUAAAAAUCUGAGAGUGAUGUAACUUCUCUUUUACUCAUUUUAGACUAAUAAUUCUGUAAUGUUAAAGCUUUUACUAUGUCAUAAUCCUUUCAUUGUAGUUGUGGACAGUUGGUAAGCUGAUUGAUACAGUAGCAAGUCAGGAAAAAUUACCUAAUAAAAACAACAUUGCUAACAUGGAGUGGUUGAAGCUAUUUUCUACCAGCAAUGGAAGAUGUUUUUCCAUGGCAGACACUUUAAGUUCUCUCCUUGAGAAUGAUGUUUUAUGUUCUGGAAACUCUAUAAUUUUAGAAUAUGUUGCUCCAGGAACUGAAUUUCUAGAAACCUUUGGCUCUUAUCAAGCAUAAUCAUAAAGCUAUUCAAAGUAAACAUGUAUAUAUAUAUAUAUAUAUAUAGGAAUAAAAUUAUUUUAUUUAAACUUGAA